rnacentral:rRNA from 1 species
GACAGAGGUGCCGAGCGUUAGGCGGAAUCACUGGGCUUAAAGCGUGUGUAGGCGGGUCGUUAAGUGCCUUGUGAAAUCCCACGGCUCAACCGUGGAACUGCUGGGCAUACUGGCGAUCUUGAGCCAGCUAGGGGCAACCGGAACAAACGGUGGAGCGGUGAAAUGCGUAGAUAUCGUUUGGAACGCCAAUGGUGAAAACAGGUUGCUGGGGCUGUGCUGACGCUGAGACGCGAAAGCCAGGGGAGCAAACGGG